UUAUCUUCCUUUCCUUCUUUGUGCGUGUGCAUUUUUUCCCUGUUUUAACCAACUGUGUGUAGGUGUACUGGGGUAGCCAACCAGACUUUGUCGCGACUUACGUCACCAUUUUGUUAUCUUUAUCAUCGUUAUUAGUUACUUUCGAUACCUACCAACGACCUCACGAUUUCUGUAGCUGAUCCUGUUCUCGCAGUUGUCUCUACAUGAAGACCAUUCGGUCCACUCCGUUAAGGUGCAAGCGUCCUCACAACUAAUGUGACACUUGCGGUGCAGUGUGGGAAUCGAAAACACUUGUCCCUCUGCGCUGGAUAUCGAAGCGUUGAUGCAAUGCCAAUAGUCCACCGAGAAGAGGUUUGAAUCCACGCACGUCAGUUACAACAGAAAGUUAUGCGUUCUUUAUGAAGAAGGCGAAGCAACUCUGGCAUGUAAACGCGGCGCGUGCUGUGCGCAGAGAAGCUGAUGGCAUAGUGUAUGUGUGUACUGCUCACUUCGAACUUGGUGCCCUGUGCCACAGAGAAGAUGAUGUGGGAGAACGCACGAACUCCAGUCAGAAGUGUUCCACCGGUAUCGAACACUGGAAGACGGGUGCUCCGUCCGGCACCACGGUUCUUUCGCUGAAUUACAAGGACGCUCCUCUCGAAGGCGCCGCCAAGGGCAUGACCGACCACCGUGUGAUGCGUUUCGGAUCACGAAUCUCUCACGGACCAUGAUGUUUCCACCUGUAAAACGAAAGCGCGACGAGCAUGUACAGGUAAAAAGGUUCAUUGAUUUAUGUUAAUGGGCGUUUUUCUUGCUACGACUGUACACUGUUGAAGAAAGAAAGGUAAAGUGAAGACAGCAAUUUGCUCUAAGCGCUAAGUUUA